rnacentral:lncRNA from 1 species
AUUUUAUUUGUCAAAUUGUUAUUAUAUGUGUAUGUAUAUGUUUGUCUGCGCCCUGCCCUUAUCCUUCUCCCGUUACUCACUUAUGCAUCCUGUACUCAUUUCCUGUCCCCAUAUUCUAUUCUUGUACCUUGAGGGGUCACUAACACCUCAUCACUGCCAUCUUUACCUCUUUUUCAAACCCUACCCUGAUUAUUCCCAUCCACCCUUAAUGCAGGGCAGCCAGGUAUCGUCUCUACAGCAACAGACCUAUUCCUGACCUAUCUUUCAUACUUUAAUCCCACAUCGCUCUAGCACGGGGCCACCUUUCUCCCUACUGUGAAACCAAUCUGUUGAGGGGAUACAGGGCAAUGUCACUAGGGCCAGUGCCAUGUUAGGUGCACCCAAUGCUCUCUGUAAAGUGGUUGGCAUUAACGGGGGUAAGUCAAUUAUAUCAACCCCACUGCUCAGAGGGUGCUUAUUUUAUUGAUCCUGAAAACAAAAAGCAAAGUUGAUAUCUUAGGAUCAAUAAAAUAAUAAUAAUGAUAAUAAAUCUCCAAGCGAGUUAUAAACAGUAGCUACAACACAUCGUGGCGUAUAUUUGCCAUUUAAAUAUGGCUAAUCCCUAAGGGUGGAUGCUACUGUAGUUUGUAGCCCCAGGAGGACACCUUCUCUAGCUGGCCAUAGACACACUUUCUGUGCCCUAUCAGUAUUUGCAAAGGGCGCCCCAGGAGGACACCUCCUCCAGCUGGCCAUAGACACACUUUCUGUGCCCUAUCAUUAUUUGCAAAGGGCGCCCCAGGAGGACACCUCCUCCAGCUGGCUAU